rnacentral:rRNA from 1 species
UACGUAGGUGGCAAGCGUUGUUCGGAUUCACUGGGCGUAAAGGGUGCGUAGGUGGUGAGGUAAGUCGGAUGUGAAAGCUCCGAGCUCAACUCGGAAAUGGCAUUGGAAACUACCUUGCUCGAGGGUUUGAGGGGGGACUGGAAUACUUGGUGUAGCAGUGAAAUGCGUAGAUAUCAAGUAGAACACCAGUGGCGAAGGCGAGUCCCUGGAAAACUCCUGACACUGAGGCACGAAAGCUAGGGGAGCAAACAGG